UUUUAUAUUUUGUUUUUUUUUUCGAUAAUAUUAAAAUAUUUUAUUAUUUCAAAGAGAAGAGAAGAGAAGGAAAAAAUUUAUUUUCUUAGAAAUUAUGAAGAUCUUAAAAUAUUUCUUAGCAUUCUUAGCAAUAGUAAUGGCGUUAUCCAUUAGGAGUCAGGCUAAACCACUGUCGAUUGGGGAAUGGAAGAAUGACAGAGAUCGGGAUCAUCUAGGAAGCUUUAACGUCACAAAUGAUGAUACCAAGGAACCAGAGGAAGAAUGCACAACCCAAGAUGGAAUAAUAAAUUCUGAUGGAGAAGAUGAUGAAUAUGAAGAUGAUGAAAAUGGAGAUGAUGACAACUAACCUAAAUGAUGGACUGAAAAGAAUAUUAUUAUUUCUUUACGCAAUUCAUUUUUAAGAGAACUUUAUAAAAAAUUUAUGUAACAAAAAAAAUGUAUUACAAAAUAAACUCUUCUCUUCAUUUUACGAUA